rnacentral:lncRNA from 1 species
AAUAGGAACACUUUUACACUGUUGGUGGGACUGUAAACUAGUUCAACCAUUGUGGAAGUCAGUGUGGCGAUUCCUCAGGGAUCUAGAACUGGAAAUACAUUUGACCCAGCCAUCCCAUUACUGGGUAUGUACCCAAAGGACUAUAAAUCAUGCUGCUAUAAAGUCACAUGCACACGUAUGUUUAUUGUGGCAUUAUUCACAAUAGCAAAGACUUGGAACCAACCCAAAUGUCCAACAAUGAUAGACUGGAUUAAGAAAAUGUGGCACAUAUACACCAUGGAAUACUAUGCAGCCAUAAAAAAUGAUGAGUUCAUGUCCUUUGCAGGGACAUGGAUGAAAUUGGAAAACAUCAUUCUCAGUAAACUAUCGCAAGAACAAAAAACCAGACACCGCAUAUUCUCACUCAUAGGUGGGAAUUGAACAAUGAGAUCACAUGGACACAGGAAGGGGAAUAUCACACUCUGGGGACUGUUGUGGGGUGAGGGGAGGGGGGAGGGAUAGCAUUGGGAGAUAUACCUAAUGCUAGAUGACGAGUUAGUGGGUGUAAUGCACCAGCAUGGCACAUGUAUACAUAUGUAACUAACCUGCACAAUGUGCACAUGUAGAGUAUAAUAAAAAAAAAAGGCAAAACCAUAUUAGAAAAACAGAAAAGAAAAAGAAAAAAAAAAAAAAAGACUUAAAAUCUCUCUUGGGGCCAGAUACAGAAAGCAUUUUCCUCACCUGUUUUCUUUUCAAAACAGUAGAAAAACUGUUUUUAAAGAAGGGCAAUUAAAGUAGACUAGCCCUGAAUGAUUUUUCUAAUUGUUACAGAAAAUCUGAUGGUUUUCUUACCUUGAAGUCAUGUGUACUAGGUCUUCCAAUUCUCUCUGAAGGGGAAGCCACAUGGCUUCCUAGAUCCUUAAGAAAGGAUAACCCUUAUUGAUAAGCCUCUGUUUAUGACAUGACUUGCCCAGGGUCACACAGAAAGGCAGCAGUAGAGACAAAAAUUACAUACAGAUUGCCUGUCUCGCAGUUUCCCUUCCCUGUUGUUGGAGGAACGUAAUGAGGGUAAGAAAGGAAGGGGUCUCCAGAGAGAUGUAAUGGCUAUUUCUAAGCCAUUUUUAAAAUAAGCUUCAGAUGAUCAAAAGUUCGAGGUCAGAGGAUAAUUUAGGCCAUCAGAAGUUGGCCAGAUUGGAGUUAGGUCCUCUAGAGAAUUCUGUCCUUUGGCAGUCAAAGACAGUGAUGGACGCCAAGCCAGGCCUGUGAUUUGGGCACAGGUCCAGGCUCUAGCCCCCUCUGGAGCCGGGCUCGGAUCUUCACAAGGAGCUCUGCAGCAAGCAGGGUCUGUGCUUGAACAUACGCUUUUAAUCAGAGUCGCUGGAACCUGGAUGGGGCCUCAAACAUAAUUUAAUUCAGUCCUCUCACUUUGCAGAUGUAGAAAUUGAAGGCCAGAUUGAAGGGUGGGCUAUGGAAUGCUUGCACAAGGUCAUCUGUCAAUUUAGGGAACAGCAUGGUAAGGUGAAAAGGGAUCGCUUUGGUGUCAUUGCUGGGUUCCAAAUCCCCGCUCUGCCGCGUAUUAGCUAAGAGACCCCAGGUAAGUCACUUGACCUCCCUGACUAUCAAUGUCCCAGUGUGUAAAGUCGGGACCAUAAUUACAAUGCCUGAAUCACUGGAUUGCUAUCAUUAAAUAAGAUGAAAAAUAAGAAAGUGAUUUGUAAACAGGAAGUCACUUUUCAUACCACAAUGUUAAUAUUAAAUUAUAAUAAAACCCAACCCAAUAAAAGCAGUCCACUUUUCUGAAUGCCCACCACAUGCCAAGUGCCAAGUACUUCACAUACCUUGUUUCUUUUAAUUCACACAAUGAAUGACCCGAGGAGAACGCUCAACUAACAACCAUGUACUUGAACCAGGGGUUUAAAUCAGUCAUACACACAGCAGGAUUUAAAUACUAUCUUCCACAUGGUACCUUCAGAAACGUGGGCCUGGGAUUUCAUUCAUGGGAUACACAUGGCUCCCCCCCCCGUACCCCCUGCCCCCUCUGUAUUGAGUGGGUGGCUCUCACCUGUGGAGGGCAGGGUGCUCUCAUGUUUGUUUAUACCAGAACAUAGAAUAGAACUUGGUAAAGGUAAAUGCUCAUUUAAGAAAUAAAAAUACAUCAAAUAAAGUAAAAAGCAACCUGGUAGAUAGCAUUUCCUUUUCAUUUUUUUAAAAUAGCUUUAUCGAAGGAUAAUUGAAUGGAAAUGGUCAUUAAUAUAUAUCCAGAAUCUAUUAACGUUCGGCUAAGUUGGGGGGAACAUAGGGAUGUUUUAAGGCAACUAAGCGAUUUAGAAAACUUAAGUUCUUUAAUGUUUUCAAAGAAAAGGUUGAGUCUGUAAGAUAUAAUCUGGCAAUUUGUAUAGAACUCUUUCUACUAGCUUCCAGGAAUCCCUGCUCUGUGAGCUUUUUGCCAAACUGAUUGAUCUUCCCAGACAUAAUCUGGGGACCUUCUCUAAUAUGCCCCUGUCCCGCUGUCAGCUUAAUACACUCUUUUGCUAAGUAAUAGGGUAUUGCUAGUGUUCUUCCAGGUUCUCUUCAUAAAGGCGCUUCUCUGUCAAUAAGAGACUGUGUUUAUAUUCUUGUGCACAAAUAACUGGCCCUCUUCUCAGUGUUUGAGAUCCCUCAUCUUGCUCCGACUGUUGCAGCCUUUUCUCGCCAUGACAGACUGCCAUACUACAUGGCCUUCUCCCAUCGAAAGGGUCUAGCAUGUGGACCACUGAACUGCCAAGGAAGCAGUCCAACUGCCCUGAGGCUGCCAUGCUGUGAGGAAACCCAAAGUGGUCCAUAAAGAAGGAUUAUGUGGAGGGACCCUGAAAGAUGCCUGGCCUGCCUCCCACUGCUCCAGUACCCUCCUCCCCAACUCUUCCAGCUUCAGCCACUGUCUGCAACCACAUGAGAGCUCCCGAGCCAUAAAUGCCCAGCCUAGUCUCCCCUAAGUUUCUAACCCACAGUUUAAACUACUAAGCUUGGGUUGCUUUGUUAUGCCUCAAUAGCAACUGGGACAUGCCCCUUUCUCCAUUCUGCUGCUGAAUCUGGUUACAGCAGCAGAGACACAUGCCAGGGGCAUCUCUAGUAACAGGGGAAAGCCCUUUGGGAGUAGAUUCAAAGUGGGGGGUCAAGACAAAUUAUUCAGCGAGCCUGACUUUUAGAACUCAAGGGGCACCAAGUAAGUGCAUGAUCCUGAGGCAAUCAAUUCCUCUCGUUUUCCUUUUUUUGUAAAGGGAUGAACUAGACACAGUGUGGAAAGCCAGCUUUACCACAUUCUCCUACGAUCUUCUGAAGUUACCUAAUCUCUCUAACCCCAGAUUCCUCUUCUGUAAAAUGGGGAUAAUAGCCACAAAAAUAGAACAGUAGUGUAAAAUUAGAUAGUAUGUGUGGAAAAGUAGAGUCUUGAAACUUGACUUAAGUGGUUGAUGAAUGUUAGCCCCCUCCACCAAUGCCUUCCCCUUGCAUUCUAAUAUUCUCUGCUCCUCUGAGCAAAUUUACCAGAUGAUUGUUGGAGUUUUUUGUAAUCCUCAUCAAGUCAGAGAAGACUAGUGAGGUUGUGGCAAAUAAAUGAUUCUGAGGGUCCAGGGCGAGCUUUAGGUAAAUUGUGGUUUUAGUGUUUGAGAAAGAGCCUGUCACUAGUGGGAGUCUUCAUUAUUCACUGGCAAGAUAUAACAAGCAGGGCUUUGCAGUAAUGCACAGCUCCUCUGCUCUUGGCAAUCUUGUGGCCGAAAGAUAUUUUUAAAGCCCCUGUUUUCAGAUGACCGUGUUUCUGAUUAGCAUGUGUCUUUUCCAUUUUCAGUUCCACGAAGAGAAAGGCAAGUGAAAUUUGCCCAGCCUCACCAUCUCCAAAUGGGUGAUAUUACUGAACAAUUAUUUAAUGGCCCCACAGCAUCUGUUUUUUAUAUUUUGGGGUCCAUACUGGAAGUUCAAGCUUAUGAAUAAUCCAGAUAUUUAAAAGCCAAUGCUCAACUGGAUAUUCUCCUUAGGAUUAUUUUAGCCUUGUCUAGAAUCAGAGUGUCUGUCAAUUGCCACAACAUAUAUAUUAAGUUUGAAAGAGAUUAAGCUGGAAAAUUCGAUAUUUUAAAAAUAAUACCAAGAGAGGCUGGGAGCAGAAAGAGAAGAAAAGAUAACUAUUGGGUACUGGGUGAUGAAAUAAUAUUUACAAUAAACCCCCAUGGCAAGUGUUUACCUAUGUAGCAAACCUUCACAUGCACCCCCAAACAUAAAAUAAAAGUUAAAGAAAGAAAAAAACAGAAACUCUUACUUAUAACUCAUUUCAUUUAAUAACGUUUUUACUCUUUUAAAAAUAAAAUAAUGCUAAUGAUGAUGAUAACAGGGUUCAUACCUGUAGAGCAUUUUACAAGUGGCAGAGAGCUUUCAUUGAUAUCAUUUCUCUUAAGUCUUCACCCUGUGAGGUAGGCAUAGAAAGAAAUUUUAUCCCCAAAUGACAGAUGAAAAAAUAGAGAGCCCAUGAGUUUAACUGACUUGCUCAAAGCCACAAAGGCUGCAUUUCCUGAGCCUGAGUACCCCUAGGAAGAGCUCCAGCCAAUCUAGGGUGCAGAACCAAUGAGUUAGUUUAUCAUUUAUCAAUCCCAGUGAUGCAUAAGCUGUGCAGAAUUAGAAAGGUCAGCUCCAGGCUGGCCCACCAAAAAAGUAGAGGAAAACUUGGGAAUGCCCACUAGCCUAUUCAGAAGUUGGAUUCAGGUUGGGAGAAAGAAAAUAGGAGCCGAAUUAUUUUGAGGUGGUAUACACGAGUUACCUAUUGCCAUUGUAACAAAGCCAGCACAAACUUGGUGGCUUACAAUGACAUAAAUUUAUCCUUUUACAGUUCUGGAAACCAAAAAUCCAACAUUAAUUUCUCUGGGCUUUCAAAUCAAGCUGCCAGCAGGGAGAGUUCCUUCUGGAGGCUGUAGGGGAGAAUGUAUUUCCUUGCCUUUUUCAGCUUCCAGAGAUUCUCAUAUUCUUUGACUUGUGGCCCCUUCCUCCAUCUUCAAUGCAUAUAAUCUCUGUUUCCAUUGUCACACAACUCUCCUCCUACACCUUACAAUGGACCCAUCUGGAUGACAUGGGAUAAUCUCUGCACUUCAUGACCCCUAACUUAAUCACAUCUGCAAAGUCCCUUUAACAUGUAGGAGAACAUAGUCCCAGGUUCCAGGAAUUAGGACAUGGGCAUCUUUGGGACCAUCAUUCAGUCUACCAUAGGUGACAAGGUGACAGGCGGAUGGUGGCCACCGUUUUUUUUUGCAUGGUUGUGUUUGCCUGUCUGAAAGCCACACUCCUCACUGCCACCUGACAUGUAGAGGCCAAAAUAGAAAACACAUCUUCAGAUCCCAAGUAAAGUGCUCUUUCAGGCACGUCACACCUGCCAUCUCAAACUAUAUUUACAUUCAUUUUUGCAAAUAGCCCAUUCUUGUAUAGAAGGCAAUUAAUAUUUGCAUAAUGUUUUAGAGUUUAUAAUGGCCUUUUUAUUUACAUGAAGUCACUUAAACCCCUACAAUAGCCCUCUGAGACAGUUAUUAUUAACACAUUUUUACAUAUGAAGAAGCUAAGGCUCAGCGGGGUGAAGUGGUUUGUCUAAGGUCACCCAGCUGGUAAGGGCAAGACCACAAUGCAAAUCCCAAAAGUUCCACUAUAUUCCGCUCUAAAUAAUGAGUCUAUACUGAAGUCCACUUACUAGCCAUGGUGGCUUAUCUUUUGGGGAUACUCUGAAGGUGAAUGGGGUCUCCAUUGCGCUUUUGAGAUAAAAUGAGUCAAUAAAUGUGAAAGUCCUUUGUAGCAGUAUGACUCACUAUGACAGAAAGUUAUUGAUAGCAUUAUCAUCAUCACCACCAACAUCCUCUGCCCUGGAGACCAAGAGAAUUCAAACAGGUCAGCACCUCUAAUUGCUGUAUAGAACAUUGACCCUACUGUCUCCCAGUUCCUGAGGAUGGUGUGAUAAUAAUACAUCUCAGAGUUCUGUAGUUUCUUCACCACUGUGCAGGUGUGGUUGGUGGGAGCAAUGCCCUGGAUGGAUAAGCCAAGCUCUUGUGUCCUGGCAGAUAAACAAGGUGAACCCUCAAUCCGUGUAGCAGGAGUUUCCAGACAAACUCACUUUGCAUGGAAGGACACUAACCCUUCCAGAUGUGUCUAAUUUUGUGGAAAGGAGAAGGUUGGGAGCUCCGGAGCUAAUAGGAUGCACAGGAGGAAGAUACGGAGCACAGUGGCUGAGACCUGACAGCUCUCUGAAGACUCCACUUCACCGCCGCCACUCCACUUCACCGCCGCCAGCCCUGGCCCACACCUUUCUUAAGAGCAACUUAAGAAAUUUGCAACUUCAAAACCAGACCAGAGGGUGAGAAGAACUAGCCAACCCAUCCUCCAAGUGUGACUGAGCGGUCAGGCUGCCCCCACCUCAUUUGAGUGAGACCGCCAAGAGCCUUCACGUGGGACCUAGACCACAGGAACACAAUUAGGAAGUACUCCCUGCCCCUCACAACGGCCAUCCUCACCAGGCAGCGGGGACAGAAGGGAGGCAGGUGCAUUCAAAUCGCGCUGGCCUGAAGAAGGGAAAUGAAGCGCUAAACUCAGCUCGGUCCCACAAUGAGUCAGAAUGGGGGCAGGGAGGAGCGCCCAAAGCCCUCUGGCCCUUCUCCUUGGGAACUAGUCCUGCACAUGGCCACCAGCCCUGGGAAUCACAGCAUUUGGCAUGGGUCUCAGUUCUUGUACUCCAUUGCUGUGGGACAAGAGACACUAAACUUCCAGGUUUUCUCUCAAUAGCUGGCUUCACCUGUAAACACAGUGGCAUAUUAGACAAGCUCUCUUCAUCUGAAAUGUGCCCACCCCCCCAACAAUCCCACCUUUGCCUGCUCAAACCUGACUCAUGCUUCAUGUUCAUAUUCAACUUCUUCCCUUGUGCUUCUAACUAAAUCUAGGAAUCUCCUUGUUCUUAGAACCACCUUUAUCCCUUCUCAGAUAUUUAUGUAUAUCAGUUUUUAAAUGAAAAUAAUUUCUCACCUAUUAAGCUGGGCACCCUGCUAAUCACUUUCACACUUGCUGUUUAAUUUGCUGUUUUGCUCCCUAAUAUUAGACAAAAACUCCUUGAAAACAGAGACUGUGUCUGACUCAUCGCUCCUUCCCCCACCAGGCACUAUCCUCUCAACAGUUACUGGAUUAAUAAUUUUUUAAAAAAUUUUAAAAAACUAUUUUAAAAAAAUAUAAAUUAGUAAAAACUGUGGCAUUAGCAUGAAAUGACUAAUAUGUUCAAGUUCCACUUGAGGAAGUUAGGGUGAUGUCAGUGAAAACCUGCCCUUAGAGGAUCCCUGCCUGCAUGAGGGACUCUGGGACUGCAAAGU